rnacentral:rRNA from 1 species
UGCGGAGGGGGCUAGCGUUGUUCGGAAUUACUGGGCGUAAAGCGCACGUAGGCGGCUUUGUAAGUUAGAGGUGAAAGCCCAGGGCUUAACCCUGGAAUUGCCUUUAAGACUGCAUCGCUAGAAUCGUGGAGAGGUGAGUGGAAUUCCGAGUGUAGAGGUGAAAUUCGUAGAUAUUCGGAAGAACACCAGUGGCGAAGGCGACUCACUGGACACGUAUUGACGCUGAGGUGCGAAAGCGUGGGGAGCAAACAGG